rnacentral:rRNA from 1 species
UGGGGAAUUUUGCACAAUGGGGGAAACCCUGAUGCAGCGACGCCGCGUGAUUUAGAAGGCCUUCGGGUUGUAAAAAUCUUUUGUAUAGGAAGAAAAUGACAGUACUAUACGAAUAAGGUCCGGCUAAUUACGUGCCAGCAGCCGCGGUAAUACGUAAGGACCGAGCGUUGUCCGGAAUCAUUGGGCGUAAAGGGUACGUAGGCGGGUCAUUAAGUUAGAAGUCAAAGGCUAUAGCUCAACUAUAGUAAGCUUCUAAAACUGGCGACCUUGAGUAAUGGAAGGGAAAGUGGAAUUCCUAGUGUAGCGGUGGAAUGCGCAGAUAUUAGGAGGAAUACCGGUGGCGAAGGCGACUUUCUGGCCAUUAACUGACGCUGAGGUACGAAAGCGUGGGUAGCAAACAGG